rnacentral:misc_RNA from 1 species
UCGCACACACCAUUUCCAGCACGCUUCAGCAGAAAGCGCACCCCCUUCCCACCCUUACUUUGUUCUCUCGCUCUCUGCUGCCGCUGCCCCUCCCCCUCCCCUUACCUCCCGUUCACAGGCGAGAUGGAGAUGGAUCCCAUGACGCGGCAGGAGGCCGAGAAGGUGGAGAACGUCUUAGCGGACCUCGCUGAGGAGCUCCAGAUCCUGGCCUUCUUGCCUGAUGAGUUCUCCUCAUGGGUGCGUGAUGAAUCUGUCGUGGCGGCGACUCUACGGGACACAAACAUGUACCUGCGUCGCUAUGAGGAGCACGUCGUCCGCAAGACGAAGGAGGCAGAAGCGAAGCACGACGUCAUUCGAGGCACUCCGACUGUAGCAGGGCUGCGUGUAUCUGCGCUCUCGUCGCGGCCUAGCAGCGGCCGUAGCAGCAGCAGCUGCAGCUCGUGGGCCAAAACCGGUCGGCACGGCGACGGCGCUGCUUCCGAUCUGCCCAUCUCGUCCUCUUCCUCCUCCCUCACCCCAGAAUAUGAAGAGGAGCGUCAGCGGGCAGUCAAGGCUGCCUGCUUCGUGUACGCCGCCAGCCACUACGGCGACCUGACCGCCAACGACGACAACGAGGCGGUUCUGCAGGUCAGCGACUACGCGCAGCUCGAGCGCGACUUACUGGCGGGAGCCCACACGAUUGGCUCUGUGGACGCGGCGGACCUUCAGGCGCACCACUUAAGCACUCGCGCUCUCAUCGACACACUGCGCGACGGCGGGUACGGCGACAUUAUGAAGUACCAUGUGAAGCACCUGUACACGUCGCACUUCUCUUCCACAGCCGCGCCGCAGCGGCCCGGCCCCUCCGUAGCAGCGUCAGACUCGAGGGUGCUGUCGCAAGCGUACAGGUGUGGUAUGAUCGAUGAGGACCUGGACCGCCUGCGUGGGCUCGUCGUCACGUUGCACCGUCUCAUCCGUCAACGCAACCAGUCGACCGUCAACGAGGAUAUGCAUCGCUACCAGCUUCUCCACGACGCUGUGAACCGAGACCAGGCCGGCACGGCGGACGUGCAGGUGCUGAAUCAACGCUACCUCGAUAUAAAGGCCGCCCGCCAACGCGAGGUGGCCGGCCUUGAUCGCGAGAUUGAAGCGUUAGAGGAAGAACUGCAGUACGUGCAGCGCACGGCCGACAUUGAGUUAGAGGCUUUUCAGAGCAUGCAGGAGACGGUGCAGGAGGACCGCCGGUGUUCGCUGCGGCAGCAACUCGAGGUGCACCGAAAGAACGCAGACGAGGUGGCGCGCCGGCUGCAGCAGGCGCAGGCCAAGGCACUGGACGAGCUGAACACGCUGCGCUCGAACCGCACGAAGCGCGAGGCGGCGGUGAGCGGGGCCAUCACUGAGUACGACGCUCAGAGCGCGCUGCUCGAGGCGGCGAUGCGGCAGCUCAACCACGAAGCCGAGGAGGACACGGAGCGCAUUGUCGCCCUGGAGGAGGUGGUGGAGAAGCUGCACAAGGAGCGCGAGGAGCACGCCUGGGAAGUUAUGGUGGCGGAACAGCGACAGGAGCAUGCCAAAGUGAUUUGCGAGCACCAGGAGCACGACGCGCGCGUGAUUCAGGCUUACUACCGCGCCUUCAUUGCCCGCGUGCACACACAGCGGGAGCUCGAGAAGAACGCCAGGAAGCGCAAGAAGAAGGGCAGAGCGAAGAAGUGAGUGGGGGCGUCGCUGCUGCCUCGUCUCCCUGCGUCGGGAGGAGAGGAUGGAGACGGGUUCCAUGGCGAUGAUUCGCUAGCAGUCGCUCACAAUGGGAGGAAGAGUGCGGUGACCGCCACACGAUCUCCCGUGUGCCUGCAUGUGCUUUCGGUUCGCUUGACUGAUGUACACACGACGGCGUCUUUCCUUAGCCGUUUUAUCUUUCGCGCCCUCCUGUGUGUGUGUGUGUGUGUGUGUCUGGGCCCCUCUUCGAUGUGAAAGAUGUGCUCCGCGAUGUGGUGCUCCUCGACGCCUGCGCCUCCACUCUUGACCUGACCCUCAGACACCCCUUAAUGCCUCUUGUUGCGAAGGAGGCCACCGAGGUGAGGGGCUGGAUGGUACGGGCAGUGAAUGGAAAGUGUGGAGGAGCCACAGCGGUCACUCCAGCUUGAG